UUUUUUUUUUGGUUAGAAAAUCUGAAACUUGUGUAAAUAACUAGAUUAAUUGUUGCUCAGUCUCAUACUGUAAAUAUUAUACUCCUAUGCCAUGUUUUAAUAUGAAUCACUGGUCUCUAAUGAAAUUUUCCCUAUUUUUGCAAAUUGAGACAUGGUUGAGAGGAUUCUUAGUGAAGAACCUAGUUCAUCAGUGCUGGUUCAUCUGAAAAAUGAGGUAUGUGUUCUACCCUAUGCAUAUUUUGAAAUACUAAUAUUUAAAUCAUGAGCAGAACUCUACCCAAGUCCAAAAUCUUCCAAAGCCUAUCCAAUAAAAAUUUGAACCAGUUCCGUUUCAACUAAAGAAUCCUCACCGAAUUAAAACACCUAGAUUCCAGGGGAGCUGUAACCGUGAUUCCAAACUGAAAAACUGCAGAGUGAUUAGACUUCUAAUUGACCACAAAAAGCUGAAGUUGUGUAUUAAUUACACUUCUCCUUUAAAUCCCUCAUCAACUCUGCAAACUCUUCAUUAUUUCUGAAAAAACCGUCGAAACCCUUUCUUCUCUCCUUGCCUUCGAAUUCAAUCCAAGAUUUUUUAUUCAUCAUAAAACCAUAACCAAAAUGUGUAACCCCUGGAAUAACCUUGGUACUCCUCCACCCCCUACUCCUUCCUCUUCCUCAACAACCCCUCAACCUAGUUCUAUCCCCCAACCUAGAAAAAGGAGAGUCAAAAUGCUUGCUAGAAAAAUAGUGGCCAACAGUGCUUUAUCUCAAAAAUUAAAUGCCCAUCUUAAAGCAAGCCAAGACCAAAACUCACAAAAUUCGACUUUAAAUCAGCGAUUGAGGGGGAAGAAAGUGGGUGUUCCGAUUCUGAACAGGUAACUUCUGUCCCAAAUACUUCAUCUUAGGUUAUUUCUGAGAGUGCUAAAAAUUUCGAAACUAGGUUCAUCCUGGUUGGGUCUGUGAUAGAUGUGAAAAUGCUUGAGACAAGAAGGAGAGGUGGUAAAAAUAAAAUUGAAAAAGAAAAAAAAAGAGAGGGAGUACGGAGUGAAGAGAAGGGAAAAGGGAAAAAAGUGGUUGAUUCUUCACCCACCUCUGAAUCUGUUAGAAUGGUUGUUUGUGGAAUUGAACCAGAGAAAGAGGAAGAAGGUGGCAGGCACACAGGGGAAAGUGGAUUAGGAGAAGCCACUAAAGGGCUAGAAAAUCUUGGAAAGCAAGCAGACCAACUUGGUUCAUCUGCUAAGAAAACCCUGGCUGAUCUCUUGAAAAGAUUAAGUGACAGUUACCAACCCAAGAAGAAAAGAACUCCUAAAGCUACAACCUCUAGAACAACAAGAGCCAACAAGAAAUGGAAAGUUGCUCCUUCUGAGACCUAUGAUAUUCCUCUUCCAAGAGGAAGAACUACAAGGAUCAAGCUAAAGCAGAGUGAGGAGGAGUUGCAGAGAGCUUUAGAGGAGAGUAAGAAGAAAAAAAUGGAUAAAGGGAAAGAAAAAGUGGUUGAGGCUGUUGAGUUGGAUGAGAUGGACCUGGUCCAUGAAAGUGAAAAGGUGGCAGAGGUAGAGGUUCAGAUCUCUAAGCCAAAGAAAUCCAAGACUUCCUCAAAGAAGUCUUCAUCUGUUUCUAAGUCUGUUGAACCCUCUAUCUUGGCUAAGCGAACUAGGUCCGCAGUGAAAGCCAAGCAAGUGAAAAUUACUGAAGAAGAUGAUUGGAGUGGUGAAGAGGAGGAUGUGUCUGAUGGUGAGAAGGACAAGCUGACAAAGUUUGGUAAAAGAAUAAUUCUGAAGCGGAGAUUGUUGAAGGACUUAGAAGAAGAAGGAAUGAUUUUGCUGCUGGAGAAGCUUGAGAUACAGGGAUGGAAGGACAUGGUCCUUCAGUUGGAUGGGAGACUAGCUAGGAAUGAGAUUGUGAAAUUCAUGGCCAAUGCUGAGGUCAAGGAAGGCAGAGUCACUAGCCUAGUGAAAGGGGUCCAAAUCUCUUUUGAUGCUAAAGAACUGGGUAAAAUCCUUGGCAUAUCCUCUGAAGGCUAUGAUGACUAUACUAGGCAGAAAUGGCCCAGUCUGGAUUCUCUUCCAACUGCCCUGGCUAUCACAAGGAAAUUUUAUGAUAAUGAAGAAGAGAGUGAGCCCAAGGCAAUCUAUAAGAGUGAAAGGAAUCCACCCCACAAGGUGAUCUUUGAAUUUAUCAAUAAGUGCGUGUUGCCAAGGCAGGAAAGGAGGCAUAUUGCAAAUUACAUGGACUUGGUCUUGAUGGAGUGCAUGGACAGUGGGAGGCAGAUAAACUGGCCUGGGUUCAUCACUCGGAUUUUGGACAGAGUUGUCAAUGGCUCCAAAGCCCAUGCCAUUCCUUAUGGUUUCAUCCUCACUUUUGUUCUUGCUCAUUAUAAGGUGCCAUUGAAGAAGGCGGAGAUGGCCACAAUCAAAGACCAUUUUGGGAUCAAUACUCUUCUUGCUUGUGAUUGUGAGAUCCAUGCCGUCCCCAAUGAACCUGGUUCAUCAAAAAGGACACCUGUAAACAACAAGGUCAGAGCCCUAGUGCAGGAGAGUAGGGCAAAGGAUGCAGAGAUAGCAAGGCUGAAGACUCGUUUGGCUGAGGUUGAAUCUGAGAGGGAUGUUCUCAGAGUUGAGCUUACAAAGGAAAGGGAGAAUAAUGAGGGAAUUCUUCACGAUAUGUUGAAUCUUCUCCAAGCCAAAACCCAAGCCCCUAGUUCUUCCAAGCCUUAGUUGCCUAGCCUGCCUAGAAAUUCAGUGACCCAGAUUUGGGACUUUUUCUUUUUGUUGCUCAUGCUUUAAAUAUUUUUGUUUCAUUUUAUGAAUUGUGGAAGAACCGUACUUUCUAUCACUGAAAUUUGUUGCUCUUGUUCUCAUGCAGUGUCUCUAUUUCUUUGAUAGUUUGAAUUCUUAGUUGAUUACUAAUGAUUGAUCCAUGAAUGCAUUUGCAGUUGCCCCAAUGGCCAUGAUUAAUUUUUAUAAAAUCUGGGACUCAAACAUCUUUUUGUAACUUUUCGAUGAUGCCAAAAGGGGAAAGAUGGGCUCUGAACAAGUGAUAUUUAUAACCUAAAUGACGCUGGUUCUUUAUGAUAAGUGCUUAAUACUCUAAUAUGUGUCAAUGUUGGAUUAAGUCGAAACAGGCCUAAGCUUAUGGACGCACAAAGUUUGUCAUCAUAAAAAAAGGGCAAUUUGUUGGCCCAAGAAAGAGAAUAGUUUUGAAGAUUGACAAAGGAACUCAAAUAUGAACCAGGUUCAUCACUGGCAGACAUAGACACCGACAGAGUCAAGGCACGUGAGUUGCACAUGCAGGAGAUAAGCGUAUUCUGGUAGAAUGAGAUAUCUCCUGAUCGAAAAGAUUGCAAAAACGAUAAAGAGAAGGACUCCUUAUUCAAAUGUUCUUAUUGUACAAGGACACACAAAAACAAAAGUUAAGCAAGAAUUGAGAGCAAAAUAGCGAGGCAAUUUUGCAAGCAGUUCGAGUGAUAUUUGAGUGUGCGAAUCUGAUGCUACUUGAACCAGCUAGAAGAACUAGUUCUAACUGUUGUCUUUUAGUCUAGUUAUUUGUAGUAGGUGGUUUUAACUUGUACCUUUUUAACUUUAUCUAGAAGCGUCUGUAAUAUGUACUUUGUAUUUUCAAGUUAGAGUUAACUUGAAGUUUGUCGCAAAUAGCUAGAGGCUAGUUUGCUACAAGGGGUUAGAUGUAAUCCUAGGUUUACAAAUGAGUUUUUGUAAAUGCUGUUUUGGUUCACUGAUUUAGUAAAGAGUUUUGGAAAAAUCCUACUAGGAAGUAGGUCGUGGUUUUUUCACCUUUUGAUACAGGUAUUUUCCACGUAAAAAUUAUGUGUUCUUUAUUUUUUGUACUUAUUAUUCCGCAACAGUAGCAGUUGGAACACAUAGAAGAACCAGGUCCUUCUAUAAUCUGUGCACACAAAAAAUUGGACACCAUACAAAUCACCCAUUUUUGUGCGAUAUUGACGUAUAAAACAUCAUAAUCAUAUUGGUGAUUACGAAGAUAAUAGUACUUCUUAAACUAAAGAUAACAACUUCUUGUCUUUCUUCUUUUCUCGAAUUGAAUUCCUCCAACUGUGGUUCAAAUUCUCUAUCAUAUAUAUGCCUAAUUCAAUUUUGGGAAAAUUAAACAGACAGAAAGAAAGCAAUAUGUCUCCAUUAAUUAAACAAUAGCAUAUCUCAAGGCACUAAAUUACAGUAGCAAGAUUAAUAGAUCAAAGACUAUAACUUCGUACUAACCAAAACCAAGUCAAGAACAUAACUACUUAAUCUAACAACUUUUGAGAAAUAUAAGAGUAGUUGUCACAUGCAUACGUAUCCCCUAAUUAAGAAGUGCAGAAAUCGCAGCAGCACAAGUCCUCCAAAAAGCUAGCCAUGCAAUCGUAUAAGCAAGAACAACUGCAGCAAAUUAAAUGGAUUCCUCAAAAGAUAAAAGUAAUGAUCAAAUGGUUCCAAUUAACUAGCAAGAAUAGAACAAAUAUAAUGAAGUGAGAAGAGGGAUACCCUUCAUUGAUAAAUUUGUCCAGUUCAUCCUCUAUUGGGGGAGAAUUUCUGGUGGAAGUGUCUAUGGCCUGUAUCUGCGGUGGAUCCAUUCCCCCUCUCUAUUAGUCUGAAUUUCUCAGUGUCUCAAACUCUGCUCUAUUUUGUGUGUGUGUGUGUGUGUGUUCGAAUGCUAUUUGAACUUUUUGGUAAAUUGGUGCAAGGAUUGGAUGGUUAGAUGAUUUAAAAGGAAAGAAGAUCAAACUCUUGCCAAAUUUCCGUUUUUAUGCUACUUACUUUUCAUGAUUCUCGCAUUUGAUGCCCUUGGACUUGAUGAGUUAAAAGUUGACCACCUUCCAUCAUGAUUCACGUUUUCAAACGCAAUCGUUAGAAGGUUCUAAGACUAGUAGGUGAAUAAUAAUUUCAGCUAUUUAUGGACAAUAUACCUCUUGGUUUCUAUAUAUGGUUAUACACUUCCAAUUUUAUUUUUUUCGAACAAAAGAUUUGGAACUCUUGAAUAGAAAACACAUAUAGUUUCAUGUGUGCCUAUUAAUCCGUUUAUUCAUCGAAAAUCAAAGCUCUGUUCUGCCUCCCUUAUCAGUAAUUAGUAGGAGUAGUUCGCCUUUUAUUUCCCAUUCCUUUCGCUAACAAUGUUUAAUUUGACAUAUUGUUGAUUUAUCCUUGUACUUGAGGUUAAUAAUGUGGAAUGGAUUGCAAAAUAUUUAUCUCAUUUUUUACUUUAAGCUGAUCAAUCAUAUUAAAACUUUGACGCAUAGUAACAGAGAAUAUGAUAGCUUGCUAUAAUGGAUAGUUUGGCCAAACCGUGGAAGAAGCUGCAGAAUCUGAGAGCAUGCGGCACAGUAUUAGAGCAUGCGGCACAGUAUACAGAAGAGCACUGGGUUGCUGUAGAUACUAAACCUACUAAAGCACACGGAAAUUUAUAGGUCGUCAAAUAAUAUUGGAAUAGAGAAAUAGAGCAACAUAGACAGUGGGGAUUCAUAUAGUUGACCUCAACUGCUUGGAUAGCGGUGCAGUUUUUGUGACGUAUAUGUUUGUCUCAGCUUUGCAUUGUAGAAUUCAUUCAGCUGCUUUGCAUUACACAAUAAGCAAUCAGGAAAUACUUUAAAGAUUGAUAGUUAACUCAUGUAACUUCUAAAGCAUUUCAAUAUCUUUGAUUUCUGUCAUUGCAUCUGUAUAGUUGUCGUUGAAGCUCCAUUUUUUGUUAGUAAUACACAAAUUCUACAUGUAAGAUCCAAGGUCUGCAGGGCAAUUUCCCUGGACUAUACACAAGUUUCUUCCCCUCAAGUUCUAGACAUUGCUGAGGGAGAGUAUGAGAGUAUCUCCUGGCUCCAAACCGGGAGCUACCUACGAAGCACAUUGAUAAAGGUCUGUAAUGUAUUCACUAGUCAAGCUCUCCUUAGAAAACCACAUCAAUAAAGAUGAGUACUACUAUUUCGGAAGAUAGCCGAGGUAGCUUGCUUCCAACCCACCGCACCAGAUGGGCAUAUGUACUUGUAGUAGUCGGCCCAGAAUGCCAUUGUUCUUUAAUGAGGAUGAACUGGGGAGGCCCAUGAGAGUUGAACGAGCAAAAUAACGCGUUGCCAUUGUUUAUGUUAGAAUAUGAAUGAUGUUAUUGCUGGCCUGUCUUAAUCAGGCAUAAAGAUUAAGUCGGCAGACAUUAAAGUCAAUUUGCACCAUCCGAGCAUGCCAUUCUUUGGAUCGCGAUGUUUUUUUCUUUGCCAGCUCCUUGUGUGCUAUCUCUCUAAUGAUACAUGCACUGAGUCAAGUUUAUAACUUAGCUGCUCUCUCUGAGAAUGCAACUUUUC
rnacentral:lncRNA from 1 species